AGGGAGUCUUCACUCGAGAAGCCAUCUUGCUCUUGGGUGGCUCCUCUUGUCCUGGUCUAUGCCUUUGCUCAAGGAGUUUUUUUUAUUUCUGGAAUAUUAUUUCUUCACUCCUUUCUCCUAUGAUUGAAAUCUCCUGGAUCCUUCAAUUCUCAGUCCUCUUCCACAUCGGUGGUGACAACUCCAGGGAUCCAUGUUCUUUAAUUCCAACCACUGAAGAAGGAAUGAUUCUCUUUCUCCUCAUGUCCAGUUGA
rnacentral:lncRNA from 1 species